rnacentral:tRNA from 1 species
GAAACUCUGGCUGCGUGGUGGUUAAAGAGUUCGGCUGCUAGUCAAAAGGCCGGUGGUUCGAAUCCACCAGAUUCA